AAAAAUAAAUUAAAUUAAAUUUGAACAAUUAUUUUAAAAGAUUGAUUCAUUUUAAGUUUGACUUGAUUAUUUUAUUAAAUAAGUUUGAACACCUAAAACUCGGUUAAUUUACAGCCCUUUCCCAGCCAUCGAACCUCCUCUGUAGCCCCCAUGACCGAAGACGAGAACGAAGAGGAGGCGUCAAAGAAUGGGGAGGGUUUUGAUUCUGAUGGAGCCAUGGCGGAGAAGGCAACCGGUGGUCGGGGAGGCAGAGGACGAGGAGUUCCCCGUGGAAGACGAGUUCGAGAUGGAGGAGUUCGAUUGGUGGCAGUGCUUUGUUGUGAAGACGAGGAUGCUCUUCGCCCUUCCCUGGGAGCGCGUCAAGAAAGGGAGUGUGCUCUCUGGGUUUUACUGGUUCUCCUGCUUUCUUUGUCCUGCACCAUUCGAUUCCUAUACCUACCAAUAACCUUUCCUUAAAUCCCAUACAAUCUUAAGCAGAAAAGGGGAGAUUGGUGACUGAUGGAUGCUUGCGUGCGGGGAAUGGAAGGGUUUCUUGGAAAAAAUUGAGUAUUGGUGGGCACUCUCUAUUGAAACAAACUACAGAAACACAAGUUUGUUUAUCAGUAUUGUAGAUCGUUCAUAUUAUAUUUGAUUCCAUCACUAUUUAGUACCAGAAAAUAUCAAUGUCUUGGUUACUUCAGGAUGGCUAAUUCCAAUUUUCAUCAA